rnacentral:rRNA from 1 species
UACAGAGGUCUCAAGCGUUGUUCGGAUUCAUUGGCGUAAAGGGUGCGUAGGUGGCGGGGUAAGUCAGGUGUGAAAUCUCGGAGCUCAACUCCGAAACUGCACUUGAUACUGCCUUGCUCGAGUACUGGAGAGGAGAUUGGAAUUUACGGUGUAGCAGUGAAAUGCGUAGAUAUCGUAAGGAAGACCAGUGGCGAAGGCGAAUCUCUGGACAGUUACUGACACUGAGGCACGAAGGCCAGGGGAGCAAACGGG